UACGUAGGCAGCAAGCGUUGUUCGGAGUUACUGGGCGUAAAGGGUGCGUAGGCGGCGGAGUAAGUUGGGUGUGAAAUCCCGGGGCUCAACCUCGGAAUGGCAUUCAAUACUGCUUCGCUAGAGUACUGGAGAGGAGGCUGGAAUUCCUGGUGUAGCGGUGAAAUGCGCAGAUAUCAGGAAGAACACCAAUGGCGAAAGCAGCUCUCUGGGACGGUACUGACGCUGAGACGCGAAAGCGUGGGGAGCGAACAGG
rnacentral:rRNA from 1 species